ensembl:lncRNA
GGCAGGGAAGGGGGUUGGGGGGCUGCGGCACCGCCGGGCUCCUGGGCUCAGAGCCCUCCAUCCGUGCACUCAUCUGCUGCUUGUGUUUGCACCUGGCCCCGUGUUCUCGUAGUGAGUCCAGUUCUGAAUGUGCAACUUUCCUGUACGCAGUGGCAUGUAAAACUUCAAAUAAAGAGUGAAUCUGUUCUGAAGCGGGCCCCUCCUUGUCUCCUGCCUCGUAUUUCCCUUGAAAAGCACAGCCCAAAGCCAUCCAUGCCCCUCAUGGGAUGCGCUUUGGAGUUGUGUUCCAUCUGCAAAAUGUGAGGCGAUGCUUUUCCUCCGUGGGCGUCCAAACGGACAGUGGUUGAGCCUCAUUGCUGCAGGACGAAGCAGCCCUCCGGCUGGCAGACAGGCUGUUUUGAAGCACAACCAGAGCCCCUUUAAAAGCACACCGAGUGCAUCCCGAACCCGGGAGGGGAUUCCAGCCCUCCCCACCGUUGGCUGUGCAGGCCGUGCCCUGCUGGCUCCUUGCUGGUGGCCCUCAGGUAGUCCCAGUGCCUCCAAUGCUGUGUCCCCACGGGGCUGCUCUCUGUGCUCCGGUCCUCGCUGUGUCCGCACCCUGCGCUACUGAUGGACGCCUCUUGUGCCACGAUGAGCACUGGGCCCAGGACAGCCCUUCCCUGCUCAAGGAACUGAAAAUACACCGAGGAAGUCCGGCGUGAGGGCGGUUGUUGCAGACACCCGUGGACCAGAGACGGAGCAUCGCUGCACCCCAGGAUGUGCCCAACUCUCAGCAGAGCUCUAGGAGAUCCAACCGCAGCAUUCUUUGCCAUUAUUAUCACAUAAACCACGAGAAACUCCCAAACCAGCAACUGGAGGCAUCUGUGUGUCAGUGGGUGAGCGGGGAGCUGCGGGGCGGGACGCUCUGUGCUGGGGGGGCUCUCCUCCAGCAUCGGCCCUGCGCUCCGUCGGCUCCGCUCCACAUAAACAAGGGCUGUGUGUCGGCUGGAGGCGGCUGUGCAGGGCUGUGUGCCGCUGGGUGGGACCUCAGCACAGAAAUAUUUUCAAGAUAAACAGAGGAAAAUGAGUCCUGGAGGAGGACGGAGCCGCUGGCAGCGCUCCUCGCCGAGAUAUUUCGGGGCAGGAACUCGGCGCUCCGCGGGCCGGGGUGGAAAGCUGGCUUUUGUGAAUUCUUUCUUCUCCAAAGGGAACUUCGAGGGCUGAAAAUAAACACAAAAAGCAAUCGGCAGCAGAACCCGCUGGGGACAGUGGGGAUGUCACGGGGCAGAAGUGCCACGGGGACGGGACACGGGGCAUGGGGAGCAACAUGGGGACACACCACGCUCUCCCUGCAGCAUCCCUGCAUCCCAGUGGCCGAAUGUCACUGGUGCUCGAGGUGGAGCAUCACCCAGCACCAAGCAGGGCUGCCCGCUGGCAAUGCCAGGUGCCGGCAGCGGCACCCUGGGGGAUGCGGUCCCCUCCGUCGGUGCCACGCUCGGGGCGCUGGGAUGCCGGCGUCUCCCCCUCCCUCCCUCCCCACCCUCAGCAAAUUUAAUUAAAAGUCAUUCAGAUUCCUUUGAAAGAAAAUGUCAUCCGUCGACACAAUUACACUUUAACUAACCAAAGCUGUUACAGUUCCUAUAUAUAUUGGAAUCAGGCUGUCGUUAUUAGUUCUAAGUAAGUAAUUUAUUCCCAUUAUUGUGUUCAAAUUACAGGAUAUUACCCCCUGGGGAAAUAAUCCUGUUAUUUGAAAUGUAAAAAAGAAUUCACAUGGACAACAAUAGGUUCCUCAAUGAACCUCAGAGCGGCCCCGAACAGAGCGCAGCAUUGCUUUGCCUGGAUAGAAAAACACACAAAGUUGUGCUCCAAAGAUGUUUUCCCCUCUGGUUUUCCUCCUCCCGCCCCAAGAGAGGGAAAAGGGACUCCUCCUCUCCAGCCGGGGCUGUGGGAACCCGGGGGGCAGCGGGGAGGGGGGUGUUGGGAUGUGGGUCCAUGUGCUGUGCAGCCCAAUGUCGGAGCGGCUCUGCGACACACGGAUCUCACGGAGCGCUUCGGACCACCGAGAGGAAAGAGGGAGAGGGGGAAAGAAGAAAGAAAAAGAGGAGGAAGAGGGAGGGGAGGGAGGAAAAUGAGCUACACUUGUAACCUGAUUACAGCAGCCAGCUAUGUGUGCGAAAUCACAAUGCGGCUCUAUAAUUAAAUCUCCCUUUCCCCCCUCCUGCUGCGCUCUUUCCUCCAACAGGCGCGGUACAAAAGCUGUCGUUAGGACACGGCAUUCCAGCUCCGACCAGAGGGGACGGUUUUGUCUAUCGCUGCUGGGAUCGUCUUGAAGGAAAUCAUAAUUAGGAGCUGGGCGCUGCUGGCUGGAAGGCUUUGUUGGGCACAGGGGCUCUGCUGGAGGAGCUGCGGGUGCCGCGGGGCUGUGCAGAGGGGGUCUGUGGGAGGGGAGGGGGGGCGAACAGCCCUGGGAGAGCCAUGGGGCGGCCAGGGGUCAGAGGGGUUGCAGUGGGUGUGGGGACCCUCCUGCAGCCCAUGGGGCCUGUGGGGUUUGGGGCGAGACGGUUUCUGCCCCAACAGGUGUUGUUUUAGCAUCAUUUAGGUACCCAGCGUGGGCUGCUGUGGUGCUUUGGUGCGUGCCCAUAGGGAUAAGGGAACCAGAAGACCUCCUGGGUGUGGGGAAUGCUCCUGCAGUGUGCUUUUCCCAAAGGUUUCUUGGCACUUGGCUUCUGGACACAGUGGCCCUACAUCAGGCGAUGCGGGGAUGCCAAGGAUGGGCUCAGCUCGGGGCAAGCAGCCCCUGUGGUCACCGCCUUGCCCACUGAGGACAUUGCUUUGCUGGCUGCUCCGUCCCCACCUGUGUGACACCUGAGCUGGGGGCAGCUGUGGGUUCAGCCCCAGCAGCCCACGUCCCUGUGGGCAGGUCUGUGCUUGUUGCUUUGGGGUACUUUUGGGGACAGGUUUUGCUUCCCAUCUCCCUUUCGCUCGGGUCAGAAGAAGCGUUUGUGAGCCGCACCGUGGGGAGGCAGAUGGGCUCCCCGUGCUUUCAGAUGGCGAAGUUUGGGGUGCACACACAGCACUGACAGCCACACAGGGACAUCUGCAGGGGAAGGGACAGCCCGGGGCAGCAGUGCUGUCAGUGCUCGGAUCUCUUCUUUUGGGGACAUGGCCCUCGGUGCGGCACAAAGCCGGACCCCACGCCUGUCCCCAUCCCCUGCAGCUCUGCAUUUCCAGCUCCCCAGGGCUCCGCCGGCUGCUGCGCAAAGCAGAGAGGAGAGGUGAAUUUUAAGAAGGACGGAGCAAAGGCGCACAGCUCUGUGGUGAACCGCUCAACUUCUCCCCCUGCGCCUCCCAUUGAGUCGAUGCUUCGGGACCUUCAAACCUGAGCCGUUCACAUCUCCUCACCGUUCCUUCCCCACGGAUGUUUUCCGUGUUCUGAUGUUUGGUGUGCACACAGAAGGAGCUGCGCUCAGCUCGCCGUGCUGGUGCGGAUUGCCUCUCACAGCUCUGCCUGGACACAGGCUGUGCUAGACGCACACAGCGAGGUGUGGGUUUGGGGUAUUUCCCAUGCGUUUCUCUGCUAAACCACCACAUCUGUCCCUCCAAAAGCCAUGGCUGCCUCCUGCUCGCCCCACAGCCCAGUUCUGGUUAGGGCUGGCGGGCACAAAUCACAGCCCCGGGACUCACGAUCCGCUCAGAGCAUCCCCGUGCCAGCAUCUGUUCUGUGCUUUUUCUCAUGACUUUGCACUUAGAAAAAAAGAAAAGGAAAAAAAAAAAGCUUUUUAUUGGGUAAAAGGGGAGGAAAAAAAAAAAACAAAACAAAAAAAAAGAGGAGAAUCAAACAGCCCCAGAACCCCGCAGCUGGGAUUGAUGGAGAACGCCAUCCCACACUGCUGGGAAUCCCACAUCCCGUCUGCCCCCCACACCGGGCUGCCCCCAAAGAGCGGGGUGUGGAGGACCCCCCUCUGUCUGUAGGGCUGCGUCAGAGAUCCCCUUUUGCCUUCCAUCCCCUCUUUGGUGUUUUAUAUGGGGGAAAGGGCCCCCAGCACCGCGCCGGCGAUGAGGAAAUGGGGCAGAGCUGUGCCAGCUCCGUCCGUGCGUCUGUCUGAUUUAUGGCCGCGUUGCUAAAUCCAGGCGCUGACUGCACGCGUUAAAUAUAGCUCCAAACAGCCUGCAAACGUGCGGGCAGCACAGCACAGCACUGCACAGCACAGCACAGCAUUGCACAGCACAGCACUGCACGCCCCCCAGCCUCUGCUGUACGUGUGCAUGUGGGGGGGGUUCAGAGCCCCAAAGGACAUGAACAGCCCCCCAUAAAGGUGGGGUGAUUGGGGGUGGUUGUUGUGUUCCCAUCCCACCCCGAAGUCCUACCUGUGUGCUGGGGGGGAGCUCAGCGCUGCGCUGUGUCCUGCCUGCUGCCCUCUGCUUCCAUUAGGGGGGCGUGGGGAGGUGAAAGGGGGAAAAAGAGAAGGGGAAAAAUAGGAAAAUGGGGCAAAGGGGAAUAAAAAAGAGGGGAAAAGGGGAGAAGUGGGGAAAAAAUCGGGAAGAACGAUGAAAGAACGGGGAAAUAAAAUGACAAAAAAAAAAAAAGAGAAAAAUGGAAAUGUUUUUGGUUUUUUUUUUUUUUGAGUAAAUUAAGCGACGUAAAACAAAAGCGGCGGCGGGGGGGCGAUACAAUUAAACGGGGGUGUGUGUGUGUGUG